CCUACGGGAGGCAGCAGUGAGGAAUAUUGGUCAAUGGUCGGGAGACUGAACCAGCCAAGCCGCGUGAGGGAUGAAGGUACAGAGUAUCGUAAACCUCUUUUGUCAGGGAACAAAGGCGGGGACGUGUCCCCGGAUGAGUGUACCUGAAGAAAAAGCAUCGGCUAACUCCGUGCCAGCAGCCGCGGUAAUACGGAGGAUGCGAGCGUUUUCCGGAUUUAUUGGGUUAAAAGGGUGCGCAGGCGGUCUGUUAAGUCAGCGGUAAAAGCCCGGGGAUCAACCCCGGCCCGCCGUUGAAACUGGCAGUCUCGAGUUGGAGAGAAGUAUGCGGAAUGCGCGGUGUAGCGGUGAAAUGCAUAGAUAUCGCGCAGAACUCCGAUUGCGAAGGCAGCAUGCCGGCUCCACACUGACGCUGAGGCACGAAAGCGUGGGUAUCGAACAGGAUUAGAUACCCCUGUAGUC
rnacentral:rRNA from 1 species